rnacentral:rRNA from 1 species
CUCAACUGCGUGCAAGGAUGGCAGGGAAGACUUGGGGGCCGGGGUUGGUGCGGAAGUAUGUGGCGUAAAGGGCGCGUAGGCGGUUAGUCACGUCGGGAGUGAAAACUCAGGGCUCAACCCGGAGCGGGCGUCCGAUACGGGCUGACUAGAGGUAUGCAGGGGAGAACGGAAGUCCUGGUGUAGCGGUGGAAUGCGCAGAUAUCAGGAGGAACACCGGUGGCGAAGGCGGUUCUCUGGGCAUUACCUGACGCUGAGGAGCGAAAGCAUGGGGAGCGAACAGGAUUAGAUACCCUGGUAGUC